UUUAAUAGUUCCAUAUGAAAAUAAUUUCAAAAAACUACAAGUUCUUAGAACGAAUGAACAAGUAAAGAUAAUAUAAAAAAUCAAAGCUAAACAUAAGCCCACGCGUAGCGUGGGUACUCACCUAGAAUAGAAAAAAACAUGGUCGCAAUCAAAUAAAUCAAAAUC
rnacentral:sRNA from 1 species